UUGGAGCUAAUUUCAUAUUUUUUGGAUGUGUAUUUUGAGAGAAAAUCAAGUUUAAAGAAAAGGGUCGACUCCUAGGAUUGAUCCCUACCAAAAAAGCUGAACGGCAUGCUAUUUUUGACUGGCACACCCAAAGGGGACGACUCUAUACGUCAACCUCUGUUGCUGUGCAAACAAAAAAUACAGAACAGUGACUUUCUAUUCUGUGCC
rnacentral:lncRNA from 1 species